UCUGUGAUACACUCUCAACGAGUCGAGUUGUUUGGGAAUGCAGCUCAAAAUGGGUGGUAAAUUCCAUCUAAAGCUAAAUAUUGGCGAGAGACCGAUAGCGAACAAGUACCGUGAGGGAAAGAUGAAAAGCACUUUGGAAAGAGAGUGAAACAGUACGUGAAAUUGUUGAAAGGGAAGCGUUUGAAGUCAGUCGCAUCUGUCGGGAUUCAGCCGGGCUUAUGCCAGGUGUACUUCYCGUCCGAYGGGUCAGCAUCAAUUUCGAYCGGGGGAAAAAGAYGUGCGGAAUGUGGCUGUCUUCGGGCAGUGUUAUAGCCKCAUGUUGUAUGYCUCGGUUGGGAUUGAGGAUCGCAGCGCGCCUCAUGGCCAGGG
rnacentral:rRNA from 1 species